rnacentral:rRNA from 1 species
UGAGGAAUUUUGCGCAAUGGGGGCAACCCUGACGCAGCAACGCCGCGUGAGUGAUGAAGGCCUUCGGGUCGUAAAGCUCUGUCGAAUGGGAAGAAACAGUGAUGGUUAAUAUCCAUUGCCUUGACGGUACCAUUAGAGGAAGCACCGGCUAACUCCGUGCCAGCAGCCGCGGUAAUACGGGGGGUGCAAGCGUUAUUCGGAAUUAUUGGGCGUAAAGGGUGCGUAGGCGGUUUUGUAAGUCAGAUGUGAAAUCCCGGGGCUUAACUUCGGAACUGCAUUUGAUACUGCAAGACUUGAGUAUGGGAGAGGGAAGCGGAAUUCCUGGUGUAGAGGUGAAAUUCGUAGAUAUCAGGAGGAACACCGGUGGCGAAGGCGGCUUCCUGGACCAAUACUGACGCUG